CUGUAGUAAGUGUGACUUAUAUAUUAUAAUACUUCACAGGUUUUCUGUCUGUCCAGCACUGAGGCGCUAAGGCUGUUUGUGCUGAAGGGACAAAAUGUUCACCUGGAUGUCCAGGGAUAUGCUACACUAAAAGAUAUUGAUUAUUUAAAGUGGACGUUUAACAAAUCUCACAUUUUAGUAAAAUACUUAAAUGAAUCAUCAACAUUAAAUACCAAGGCAGGGUUGAGUUUAGUCAGGGAAACUUCUCUCUACUACUGAAGAAUCUACAGGAAGGAGACACUGGACUAUAUGAUGCAGAAGUGAGUGGUGAAGAAAACAAAGAUAUUGCCAAAGAUGUUGCCAAGUACAUUCCUUCCCUCUCUUUGUAUCGAUGUGUUUACAGAGCUGUAGCAAUCAACAGUGAAAUGUGAAAUCUAUCCUAAAUUAAAUGUACUCUAAUUUACUGCAGCUUAAGGUACAGAAAAUGUCAACCACAUUACAUUGUGACUAGAUAAAUGACUAGCCAUUUGUUGUGUGUCUUUAUCUGUGUAAAUGCAUAGAUACGUGUGUAUGCAUUUGUGUGUUUUUCUAACCAUGUCUAUUUGCCUAUUAAUCUAUGUGUUUUCAGAGGGAGUUGAUUCUCCAGUCCUGACAGUCAACUCUGUCUCCUCCGCUAAUGGCACCUGUAACAUGACUGUGACCUGCAGAGGCCAGAAAACCUCUUUCACCUCCAGCUGUAACAACAGCACCUGUUCUCAGGUGGAAGGAGAGAGUAGAGGGGCUGAGACCUCCACUGUCCCCCUGCUCUCUGUCUGUGUGGCAGGGGUUUCCAUCAUCUGUAACCACAGCAACCAAGUCAGCUGGCCCCUGACACGAAGGAGAUCGAAACUAUUUGUGCAUCCAAAUCUAAACUAGAGAGGGACGAAGCGGACCACAACUAUGCUGUCACAUUCUGGAAAGGAGGUCUUGUCUGCAUCAUCAUCAUCAUCAUCUUUGUUGCUUGGCGAAAGCUAAAUAAAGGUGGUCACUGGACCCCUACAAAUCAGCCGGGCUAGACAAUCUGGACCCUCUCUUUCUAAAAUUAUCUGCCGAAAUUGUUGCAAACCCUAUUACUAGCCUGUUCAACCUCUCUUUCGUAUCGUCUGAGAUUCCCAUAGAUUGGAAAGCUGCCGCGGUCAUCCCCGUCUUCAAAGUGGGUGACACUCUAGACCCAAACUGCUAUAGACCUAUAUCUAUCCUACCCUGUCUUUGUUACGUGCCUCCUAAGAAGAGGUAGGUGCAGGAGUUAGAAGCAGGAGAGCAAGGAAUUCCAGUAGCACAAACGUUUAUUAGAACGUCCCAAACACAACAACAACAGGUGGGGAAACACUCCCAACGAAGUCGCCACACACAGGGAAAUAAAUAUAACACACGGAGGAGAAACCUCUACUCCUUAAUAUACUACACAUGGUAAAACACGACCGUGAGGAAAAAAAACCUGUGGCACAAACACGCACCCCUAGCAGAGCACAACAGCAAAUAAUCCCUCACAAAGAAUAGCAGGCAGCGGGGGUUAAUAAACCCACCGAAAUUAACUAAUAGGACACAGGUGUAAACAAAACAGACAGACACAAACGAAAAGGAAAAAUGGAUUGUGGCAACUAGUAGGCCAGCGAUGAUGACCGCUGAGCACCGCCUGAACAGGGAGAGGAGCCACAUUCGGUGGAAGUCAUGAUAGUCUUUCUAAGGUCUUCGAAAGACAAGUUAACAAACAGAUUACCGACCAUUUCGAAUCCCACCGUACCUUUUCCGCUAUGCAAUCUGGUUUCAGAGCUGGUCAUGGGUGCACCUCAGCCAUGCUCAAGGUCCUAAACAAUAUCAUAACCGCCAUCGAUAAGAGACAUUACUGUGCAGCCGUAUUCAUCGACCUGGCCAAGGCUUUCGACUCUGUCAAUCACCACAUUCUUAUUGGCAGACUCGACAGCCUUGGUUUCUCAAAUGAUUGCCUCGCCUGGUUUACCAACUACUUCUCUGAUAGAGUUCAG
rnacentral:lncRNA from 1 species